AUGGCCAAUCGAUUUGUUGUUGAAUGGUUGACUUCCGCUGUCUUAAGAGUUCUUGAACCUUUUGCCUGCCUGGGCAUCUCACUUUCUUGCUGCAUGUUGAUUUCUAAGAUUCUAAGCUCCCUAGGAAUGAUGACUUCAGUGCCUAUCUAUAAGAGUAAGAACAUCACAACCAGACUCCGCGUCCCGCCAUCGCUGGGCGUACGCCGCUACGAUCUGCUGCUGCAUGUGGACCGUGUGGAGGACUGGACCCCGCUCUCGCCGCGCUCUUCGCACUCGGGCCAGAGCGGGAUCCCCUCCUCCGACGACGACGACAACCGCCCCCACCCGCGCGUCAUCGAGCCGGGCUCCUGGACGGGAGGUGUCGAAGAUGGCCAGGUGCUGGCUCGUCGCCCCGAGGCUUGGCUGGCCACUGCCGCUUGCCGAGCGGCCCCUCGGGCGAACCGGCACGACCACGAUGAGGAUGGCUCCGGCGACCAGCGACGUUCAUGGCGUGACGCGUUCCUGGGCACCUCUUGCCAUGCCAAGGGCAAGUCCACUGAUGUCGUCGAGGCAACGCCACGGCGGCGCAGCAGGACUCCGGCAGGCAGGAGGCACGACGACCAGGUGCGUGGGCGCGCCAAGAGCAAGAUGGCGACCGAGGCUCCGCCUCUUCGGGCCACCCCACCGCUUCCUCUCCGCCAGACAACGGUGGCCCCGCGCUCGGAAGCCCAUGAGAUGGGCCCCGUGGCCGCCUUCUUCUCCUUCCCUGGUGGUCACGCGCUCUUCCCCCCGCCGCGCACGGACGUCAUGCAGUUAGAGAUCGAGAAUGCCAUGCUCGACGCCCUCAACUCCCCGCUGGCCUUUGAAGAUGGUAGACGCUCGCCCCCGCAUGCCCGCACGCGCUCUGGUGUGAUGGAAGAAUUCCACGAAGACGACGACAUCCUCCCGUUCAUCGCCGACCUCUCUGCCCCGCUGUCUAGCCCCUGCAUCUGCUCGCCGGCGGCGGCCGUGGUGGGAUUCCAUGUCGACGCGAUCACCCACAAGGUCGACAGUCUGCAGAUUGGAGUGACGCACGACAAUGGUUCUCCCAAGGCAACAGACGGUAACAACAGUGAUGGUGCACUAGAGCUCUUCGCCCCGGUGCCCCAGGCCAUGCUGCCCAGCCCCCCGGCGCGGCCGCACCCUUCGGCCCCUCCCAAGGUGCGGGCCACCUCGGCACCUUCGCGACGCAGCGCUCGGCAGGCAGCGGCGGGCUGUGCUGUUCCAGUUGCGCAGCGAGCGGCGAUGCGCCUCAUCCAGGAGCUCGGCGGGCUCGGACCCAAGGACAAGAUGACGCCCAAAGCUGCUACUGAUCUUCUCAAGCGUUUCCAGGAGCCUCUCUCCAACAGUGACAUCGCCGCCAUUGCCAAGCUCACUGGCUUGGACUGUGAGGCCCUAAAGAUCGCUGCCGGAAUGGCCGGAGCGAGUGGCGAGGUAGCUAUGUCAGUCGGCGAAGCGAAAACCCCUGUCUCCAUGGUUGAUACAAACUUUAGAAUCAUGUACUGGAACGUGCGGGGACUAAACUCCCCUGCAAAGCGCUCGGCCGUCUGCGAGGUAGCAUUCGCAACAGGAUUUCAAUCCUUAAUUUGCAGGAAACUAAGAUCGAAUCAUGCAACAGGUACUCGAGGCGGGGCAGCAAUUUUUUGGGAUAAGCAAGUAGUCGACAUAGUUUCACACAUGAUCGCUAGCUUCUCCAUCACAGUUAGGGUUCAAAUUGUCGGAAGCAGCGAGUUCUUCUGGAUGAGAACAGUCUACGGGCCGGUAGAGGAUGAGCAGAAAGAGAAUUUCCUUUCUGAACUUGCAAGCGCGGCCCCUCCCACCAUCGACAAAGUUUUUUGCAAUUUAGCAUGGGAAAACUUGUUUCCCGACGUGCUACUUACUGCGGCCUCUACAUCCUUCUUCGAUCACUGCCCCCUCCUACUAGCCAAUGGUGCGCCGCUAGUUAGGAAAGCUAGGUUUAGGUUCGAAAAUUUUUGGCCAAAAUUUCCGCACUUCCAUGAGACAGUGAAGCACGCAUGGGAUCGGCCUAUGAAUCAUGACUGCCCAUUCAUUCGCAUCGAUAGAAAGCUGCAGAGGGUUGGGGCAGACCUGAAAAUCUGGAGUAGAUCGCUCUUCGGAGGUGCCAAGAUGCAGUUUCACAUUGCAAAUACAGUGAUUUUGCAAUUGGACUUGGCGCAGGAGGCCAGACACCUGACGGAGCAGGAGCGCUUGUUGCGUAAGCAGCUUAAACUUAAGGUGAUUGGGCUGCCAGCCAUCGAGAGGGCCAGAAAGCGGCAAGCUUCCAGGAUCAUGUGUCUCAAAGCUGGCGAUGCAAACUCAAAAAUUUUCCAUGCAAAAAUCAGAGCAAGGAGGAGGAAGAACUACAUUCACUCGAUCAGGGUGGGCAACACCAACAUCACUGAACAUAAGGAGAAGGCCUCAGCCGCGUGCGAUCACUUUACUGAAGUUAUGGGAAGGAGCCGGCAGCGCACCUGCACCAUAAACUGGGACGAACUGCACCUAUAG
rnacentral:rRNA from 1 species